rnacentral:rRNA from 1 species
GAUGAACGCUAGCUACAGGCUUAACACAUGCAAGUCGAGGGGAAACGAUAUUGGAAGCUUGCUUCCGAUAGGCGUCGACCGGCGCGCGGGUGAGUAACGCGUAUCCAACCUGCCCAUCACUUGGGGAUAACCUUGCGAAAGUAAGACUAAUACCCAAUGAUAUCCGUCGAAGACAUCUGAAGUGGAUUAAAGAUUCAUCGGUGAUGGAUGGGGAUGCGUCUGAUUAGCUUGUUGGCGGGGUAGCGGCCCACCAAGGCGACGAUCAGUAGGGGUUCUGAGAGGAAGGUCCCCCACAUUGGAACUGAGACACGGUCCAAACUCCUACGGGAGGCAGCAGUGAGGAAUAUUGGUCAAUGGGCGAGAGUCUGAACCAGCCAAGUAGCGUGCAGGAUGACGGCCCUAUGGGUUGUAAACUGCUUUUAUAAGGGAAUAAAGUGAGUCUCGUGAGACUUUUUGCAUGUACCUUAUGAAUAAGGACCGGCUAAUUCCGUGCCAGCCGCCGCCGUAA